UCGUGUUGUCAGUGAAUGCUAGCCGGGGUGCUGCGUCGGAGCCAGCAUGGGGAAGGAGGAACAAAUCCUCACGGCGGGGCCUGAGUCGUAGGAGGCUUCCCCCCCAGCAUGGGGAGUGUGCCAGGCGGAGAACUGGGCAGUGAGGAAAAGUCACCUGCGAUAGUGCCCCUGGGGACCUCGAGAAGGCAGGUGUGAGGAAACCAACCCAGCAGGCCUGAGUGACGAGGGCCACUUGUCUCUGCAUUCCCCAUCUCUAGCUCAAUGCAGACACUUUCAAAACAUGUGGCAGACAAGUGGAAUGCGUGAAGGAACAAAUGAACAAGCAAAUACAAGAACAGCAAUGACCUCUGCCUCCCAACCUCUGACAGGGCUGAUCUACUGAACAACUGGAGAAAGAUGUUUUCCACAAAGAACACGCAAGAGGAGGUGGUCUCUCCACAUUUGUGUAAGCAGCUGAAUCAAGGAAAUAAAGCUUACUGAUGAAAAUUCA